GAGCACGCCGCGUGAGGGAUGAAGGCCUCUGGGCUGUAAACCUCUUUUAUCAAGGAAGAAGAUCUGACGGUACUUGAUGAAUAAGCCACGGCUAAUUCCGUGCCAGCAGCCGCGGUAAUACGGGAGUGGCAAGCGUUAUCCGGAAUUAUUGGGCGUAAAGCGUCCGCAGGCGGCCUUGUAAGUCUGUCGUCAAAGCGUGGAGCUUAACUCCAUUUAAGCGAUGGAAACUGCAAGGCUAGAGUGUGGUAGGGGCAGAGGGAAUUCCCGGUGUAGCGGUGAAAUGCGUAGAUAUCGGGAAGAACACCAGUGGCGAAGGCGCUCUGCUGGGCCAUAACUGACGCUCAUGGACGAAAGCCAGGGGAGCGAAAGGGAUUAGAUACCCCUGUAGUCCUGGCCGUAAACGAUGAACACUAGGUGUCGGGGGAAUCGACCCCCUCGGUGUCGUAGCCAACGCGUUAAGUGUUCCGCCUGGGGAGUACGCACGCAAGUGUGAAACUCAAAGGAAUUGACGGGGGCCCGCACAAGCGGUGGAGUAUGUGGUUUAAUUCGAUGCAACGCGAAGAACCUUACCAGGGUUUGACAUCCUGCGAAUCCCUUGGAAACGAGGGAGUGCCUUCGGGAGCGCAGAGACAGGUGGUGCAUGGCUGUCGUCAGCUCGUGUCGUGAGAUGUUGGGUUAAGUCCCGCAACGAGCGCAACCCACGUCGUUAGUUGCCAGCAUUUAGUUGGGCACUCUAGCGAGACCGCCGGUGAUAAACCGGAGGAAGGUGUGGAUGACGUCAAGUCAUCAUGCCCCUUACAUCCUGGGCUACACACGUACUACAAUGCUACGGACAAAGGGCAGCAAACUCGCGAGAGCUAGCAAAUCCCAUAAACCGUGGCUCAGUUCAGAUCGUAGGCUGCAACUCGCCUACGUGAAGGAGGAAUCGCUAGUAAUCGCAGGUCAGCAUACUGCGGUGAAUACGUUCCCGGGCCUUGUACACACCGCCCGUCACACCAUGGAAGUUGGCCACGCCCGAAGCCGUUACUCCAACCCUUGUGGAGGAGGACGUCGAAGGUGGGGCUGAUGACUGGGGUGAAGUCGUAACAAGGUAGCCGUACCGGAAGGUG
rnacentral:rRNA from 1 species